AAAUAUAAACAUUGGUCUGCG
rnacentral:snRNA from 1 species